GGGUUGUGAGGUUAAGCGACUAAGCGUACACGGUGGAUGCCCUGGCAGUCAGAGGCGAUGAAGGACGUGCUAAUCUGCGAUAAGCGUCGGUAAGGUGAUAUGAACCGUUAUAACCGGCGAUUUCCGAAUGGGGAAACCCAGUGUGAUUCGUCACACUAUCAUUAACUGAAUCCAUAGGUUAAUGAGGCGAACCGGGGGAACUGAAACAUCUAAGUACCCCGAGGAAAAGAAAUCAACCGAGAUUCCCCCAGUAGCGGCGAGCGAACGGGGAGGAGCCCAGAGCCUGAAUCAGUGUGUGUGUUAGUGGAAGCGUCUGGAAAGGCGCGCGAUACAGGGUGACAGCCCCGUACACAAAAAUGCACAUGCUGUGAGCUCGAUGAGUAGGGCGGGACACGUGGUAUCCUGUCUGAAUAUGGGGGGACCAUCCUCCAAGGCUAAAUACUCCUGACUGACCGAUAGUGAACCAGUACCGUGAGGGAAAGGCGAAAAGAACCCCGGCGAGGGGAGUGAAAAAGAACCUGAAACCGUGUACGUACAAGCAGUGGGAGCACAGAGCAAUCUGUGUGACUGCGUACCUUUUGUAUAAUGGGUCAGCGACUUAUAUUCUGUAGCAAGGUUAACCGAAUAGGGGAGCCGAAGGGAAACCGAGUCUUAACUGGGCGUUAAGUUGCAGGGUAUAGACCCGAAACCCGGUGAUCUAGCCAUGGGCAGGUUGAAGGUUGGGUAACACUAACUGGAGGACCGAACCGACUAAUGUUGAAAAAUUAGCGGAUGACUUGUGGCUGGGGGUGAAAGGCCAAUCAAACCGGGAGAUAGCUGGUUCUCCCCGAAAGCUAUUUAGGUAGCGCCUCGUGAAUUCAUCUCCGGGGGUAGAGCACUGUUUCGGCAAGGGGGUCAUCCCGACUUACCAACCCGAUGCAAACUGCGAAUACCGGAGAAUGUUAUCACGGGAGACACACGGCGGGUGCUAACGUCCGUCGUGAAGAGGGAAACAACCCAGACCGCCAGCUAAGGUCCCAAAGUCAUGGUUAAGUGGGAAACGAUGUGGGAAGGCCCAGACAGCCAGGAUGUUGGCUUAGAAGCAGCCAUCAUUUAAAGAAAGCGUAAUAGCUCACUGGUCGAGUCGGCCUGCGCGGAAGAUGUAACGGGGCUAAACCAUGCACCGAAGCUGCGGCAGCGACGCUGAUGCGUUGUUGGGUAGGGGAGCGUUCUGUAAGCCUGUGAAGGUGUGCUGUGAGGCAUGCUGGAGGUAUCAGAAGUGCGAAUGCUGACAUAAGUAACGAUAAAGCGGGUGAAAAGCCCGCUCGCCGGAAGACCAAGGGUUCCUGUCCAACGUUAAUCGGGGCAGGGUGAGUCGACCCCUAAGGCGAGGCCGAAAGGCGUAGUCGAUGGGAAACAGGUUAAUAUUCCUGUACUUGGUGUUACUGCGAAGGGGGGACGGAGAAGGCUAUGUUGGCCGGGCGACGGUUGUCCCGGUUUAAGCGUGUAGGCUGGUUUUCCAGGCAAAUCCGGAAAACUAAGGCUGAGGCGUGAUGACGAGGCACUACGGUGCUGAAGCAACAAAUGCCCUGCUUCCAGGAAAAGCCUCUAAGCAUCAGGUAACAUCAAAUCGUACCCCAAACCGACACAGGUGGUCAGGUAGAGAAUACCAAGGCGCUUGAGAGAACUCGGGUGAAGGAACUAGGCAAAAUGGUGCCGUAACUUCGGGAGAAGGCACGCUGAUAUGUAGGUGAAGUCCCUCGCGGAUGGAGCUGAAAUCAGUCGAAGAUACCAGCUGGCUGCAACUGUUUAUUAAAAACACAGCACUGUGCAAACACGAAAGUGGACGUAUACGGUGUGACGCCUGCCCGGUGCCGGAAGGUUAAUUGAUGGGGUCAGCGCAAGCGAAGCUCUUGAUCGAAGCCCCGGUAAACGGCGGCCGUAACUAUAACGGUCCUAAGGUAGCGAAAUUCCUUGUCGGGUAAGUUCCGACCUGCACGAAUGGCGUAAUGAUGGCCAGGCUGUCUCCACCCGAGACUCAGUGAAAUUGAACUCGCUGUGAAGAUGCAGUGUACCCGCGGCAAGACGGAAAGACCCCGUGAACCUUUACUAUAGCUUGACACUGAACAUUGAGCCUUGAUGUGUAGGAUAGGUGGGAGGCUUUGAAGUGUGGACGCCAGUCUGCAUGGAGCCGACCUUGAAAUACCACCCUUUAAUGUUUGAUGUUCUAACGUUGACCCGUAAUCCGGGUUGCGGACAGUGUCUGGUGGGUAGUUUGACUGGGGCGGUCUCCUCCUAAAGAGUAACGGAGGAGCACGAAGGUUGGCUAAUCCUGGUCGGACAUCAGGAGGUUAGUGCAAUGGCAUAAGCCAGCUUGACUGCGAGCGUGACGGCGCGAGCAGGUGCGAAAGCAGGUCAUAGUGAUCCGGUGGUUCUGAAUGGAAGGGCCAUCGCUCAACGGAUAAAAGGUACUCCGGGGAUAACAGGCUGAUACCGCCCAAGAGUUCAUAUCGACGGCGGUGUUUGGCACCUCGAUGUCGGCUCAUCACAUCCUGGGGCUGAAGUAGGUCCCAAGGGUAUGGCUGUUCGCCAUUUAAAGUGGUACGCGAGCUGGGUUUAGAACGUCGUGAGACAGUUCGGUCCCUAUCUGCCGUGGGCGCUGGAGAACUGAGGGGGGCUGCUCCUAGUACGAGAGGACCGGAGUGGACGCAUCACUGGUGUUCGGGUUGUCAUGCCAAUGGCACUGCCCGGUAGCUAAAUGCGGAAGAGAUAAGUGCUGAAAGCAUCUAAGCACGAAACUUGCCCCGAGAUGAGUUCUCCCUGACUCCUUGAGAGUCCUGAAGGAACGUUGAAGACGACGACGUUGAUAGGCCGGAUGUGUAAGCGCAGCGAUGCGUUGAGCUAACCGGUACUAAUGAACCGUGAGGCUUAACCUUACAACGCCGAA
rnacentral:rRNA from 1 species